rnacentral:rRNA from 1 species
UACGGGGGGAGCAAGCGUUGUUCGGAUUUACUGGGCGUAAAGGGCGCGUAGGCGGCGUGGUAAGUCACUUGUGAAAUCUCCGGGCUUAACUCGGAACGGUCAAGUGAUACUGCUGCGCUAGAGUGCGGAAGGGGCAACUGGAAUUCUCGGUGUAGCGGUGAAAUGCGUAGAUAUUGGGAGGAACACCAGUGGCGAAGGCGGCUCACUGGACCGGAACUGACGCUGAGGCGCGAAAGCGUGGGGAGCAAACGGG